UACGGAGGGAGCUAGCGUUGUUCGGAAUUACUGGGCGUAAAGCGCACGUAGGCGGAUUGGAAAGUUGGGGGUGAAAUCCCGGGGCUCAACCCCGGAACUGCCUUCAAAACUCCCAGUCUGGAGGUCGAGAGAGGUGAGUGGAAUUCCGAGUGUAGAGGUGAAAUUCGUAGAUAUUCGGAGGAACACCAGUGGCGAAGGCGGCUCACUGGCUCGAUACUGACGCUGAGGUGCGAAAGCGUGGGGAGCAAACAGG
rnacentral:rRNA from 1 species